rnacentral:rRNA from 1 species
CGCGGCCUAUCAGCUUGUUGGYGGGGUAAUGGCCCACCAAGGCGACGACGGGUAGCUGGUCUGAGAGGAUGGCCAGCCACAUUGGGACUGAGAGACGGCCCAGACUCCUACGGGAGGCAGCAGUGGGGAAUCUUGCGCAAUGGCCGAAAGGCUGACGCAGCGACGCCGCGUGUGGGAGGACGCCUUUCGGGGUGUAAACCACUGUUGCCCGGGACGAACACGGCUAUUCGUAGCCGCUGACGGUACCGGGUGAGGAAGCACCGGCUAACUCCGUGCCAGCAGCCGCGGUAAUACGGAGGGUGCGAGCGUUGUCCGGAAUCAUUGGGCGUAAAGGGCGCGUAGGUGGCCCGGUCAGCGUGCGGUGAAAGCUCGGGGCUCAACCCCGAGUCGGCCGUGCGAACUGCUGGGCUCGAGCACUGUAGAGGCAGGCGGAAUUCCGGGUGUAGCGGUGGAAUGCGUAGAGAUCCGGAAGAACACCGGUGGCGAAGGCGGCCUGCUGGGCAGUAGCUGACACUGAGGCGCGACAGCGUGGGGAGCAAACAGGAUUAGAUACCCUGGUAGUCCACGCCGUAAACGAUGGGCACUAGGCGCUUGGGGGAGCGACCCCCCGAGGGCCGGCGCUAACGCAUUAAGUGCCCCGCCUGGGGAGUACGG